CCUGGGCGAGUUUUCCUUCCGCGGGUGCCGGCAGCCGGGGCGCCGCCGCCCAAGCUGACUCCUCUCUCUCCCUCUCCGACCCCGGCAGGGCCCAGAGGUGAUUCUGCCUGCACGAUGUCCUCCUUCCUGGAGGCGAGCUCUUCCCAGGCGCCACGUCGCGAACAAAAAGAGAAAAGAAAAAAAAAAGAAAAGAAAAAUCAGAAGAAGCUGACAGAGAAGGGGGCGGUAACGGCGUUGGGGGUCACCUCGGCCACGGGAGGGCGCGCUAAGACAGCGGCGGGGUUUCCAAAGGCGACUCCAGGCUGGGGAUUUAGCUCAGUGGUAGAGCGCUUACCUAGGAAGCGCAAGGCCCUGGGUUCGGUCCCCAGCUCCAAAAAAAAAAAAAAAAAAAAAACCAAAGGCGACUCCACCAUGCAGUUUCCUGGGAAGAAGCAGAGGCUAGUGCCAGGGGACCUGGAGGCCUGGCGCCCCCGCGGACCCCUAGCCCGACCUCCGGUCUGCUCCCCAGGGACAGCAAGCAGCAAGCAGGGCGGGCUGCACCUUAAGAGCAGCAUCAUCAAGGUAGGUAGGAGACCCGCGUCCCUCCUUAGGCUCCUUCUGGCCCCCCUCCCCCGCCCUGGGAAAGCAGUGGCAGAAGGAGGCAAUGCAAAGUGAGCCCACUGGGUAGGGGAAGGGAGGGUUCAGGAAUGUAUGGAGAGCUGAAGCAGGGAUUGGAAAGCCUAUGGCAUUGGGAAAGAAUAGAGAGGUGCUCUGCAGUGUGCAUGAGAGCUGUGCUCUGACAUCCCCAGAGCAACUUGGGGCUGUCACCUCUCUCCAGAUGACUUGGAAUUAAAUGGCCUGUACCUGCAAGGGCAGGACAGGCUUUUCAGAGGCAGCUUAGCCUGGUGGCACACUCCCUGUAAUGUUUCCAUUGUAUGUUAAAGGACAGGGAUCAUGGGAAAAUAUUUCCUUAAAACCUCAGGCAAUGAAUUAUUAUUUAAUAGAUUUCUUCUGAUCUACUUUGUAAUUGGUUGCCCCUUGCAAGAGAUUGUAUUUGGAGGAUGUAAAAUACCCUCCUUCAAUUACUCGGAGAAAGGGAACAUAAACAGAGAUUUCCUCUUUUUUAGCCUCCAAAGCUCUGAGAGAUUACAGUUCUGCAUAAUUUAAUUCUUUCCUACCUGCUAUGAGAAGACCUCCAGAUCAGCAAGUUCCUUUGGAAUGGUUUUCUUGUUUUUGUUUGUGUUCCAUGCUGAUUAGAAAGCCAUGAAUUGUUUUGUGAAUUUUAAAUUUCAAGAGGUGGCACCCAGAGUUUAUGGUGGUUUCCUUCACACAUUGGAGUGUAGUUGCAGCAUAAAAAAAAAAUACUUCUUGUGACAAGAAGUGGAAAAAGAAAGUUGAUGAGCUAAGAAAAGUAGGGCCUUGAGCCAGAUCAACCAUUUGGCUUCCUCAAAUAUGGAGCAAGCAUGGAAUGUCGCAUUUUCAGAAUCGAUGGGGUUUUUAGGAUUGGGCAGUGAAUGCUGUCUGGGGCUAACCCGUCCCUUUUGUGGCUGACAACCCUUAGGAACAGGUCAGAAUGUGCCAACAGCACAGAGUUGGCACUGGUGGUGUUUGAACUCAGAAGUGCUCAAGAACUGUGAAAGUUUCUCUUUUAUCACCCUGGAUCCAUCUAGUGAAAUAGACCACUGUGAUGCUGUGUAAGAGGCCAUUGUGAGGGCUGCAGAGAUGGCUCAGUGGAUAAGAGCACCAAGUGUUCUUCCAGAGGUCCUGAGUUCAAAUCCCAGCAACCACAUGGUGGCUCAUAACCACCUGUAAUGAGUACUGAUGCCCUCUUCUGUUGUGUCUGAAGACAGAUGCAUUGUCUCACAUAUAAAUAAAUAAAUCUUACAAAAGAUUGUCAUCUACUGCAGUUUCUAUGUGGACAGGGCACAGUUGAAGGGCUUAAAGAUCAAGUACAUUGCCUGUCUUUAAAGAUCAAGUGUAUCACCUAACUUUUAAACCAAGAAAUGUAGUGUCUUUUUUGCUGCUUCUGUACCUUUUAAUGAUGUAUCUUUUCUCCUAUAACAUCAUUUGUUUCCAUGAUAGUUGUUUUCAAGUGUAUAUGAUCAUUGAUCCUAUUUGCAGAGCUAUUCAAUAUUUCUGUUUUCAUUGGUUAAAUAUUUGUGGUGAAUUUGCAUUGUGAUAUCAGUAAAAUGCUAUGUGAAAAUUUUAGAUAAUAUACCGGUUUGGGUAAUUGUAAUAACCUUUCACCUCAAGUGGUGGCCUGUUUACACAUUAAAAAGACUGGAAUGUACUACCAUCCAUAGCAGGAUUGAUAGGGAAGCACAAUGGACAGCAACAGUGCUGUUCCCUUUGACAGUUUUGAGAGCCAAGAAUGAAGUGUGAGUUGCCUAUUUGUGUCUUACAAAAUCAAGGCUUAGUGUCAUUACUGUAGGAGCCCAUGGAAAAAAUGAUGAGUUUUUCAGAAAUCACCAGUUAAAGAAAUGGUGGUAUUGCAUAUAUUUAACUCUGAGUUUCAAAAUUAUGUUUCAUUUUUCUUUAUUCCUUAAUGAAGCUUUUUAUUAAGUUUUUUAUUCACCAUUACACCCUUAGAUGCACAGUGCUAGGAUCGUAGUAGGUGCUCAAUAAAUCACUGACCAUCGGGGAGGAGGAAUGAUAAGAAAGUAUGUAUUUUCUGUAAGUUCUGUUACUUUCAGGAACAGGGGUUUUAGGCUUACCAGUUAUAGAAACAGAGAGAGCACUACCAAAUUCCUUCUAUGAAGCCACAAUUACUCUUAUACCUAAACCACACAAAGAUACAACAAAGAUAGAGUAAUUCAGACCUAUUUGAUUUAUGAAUAUUGAUGCAAAAAUGCUCAAUAAAAUUCUUGCAAACUGAAUCCAAGAACACAUCCAAACAAUCAUCCAUCAUGAUCAAGUAGGAUUCAUGGCAAGGAUGCAGGGAUGGUUUAAUAUACAGAAAUCCAUCAACAAAAUUCACCAUAUAAAGAAACUCAAAGGAAAAAAAACACAUGAUCACUUCAUUAGAUGCUGAGAAAUCAUUACCAAAAUUCAAUACCCUUUCAUUAAUAAAGUCCUGGAAAUAUCAGGAAUUCAAGGCCCAUAUCUAAAUAUAGGAAAAUGCAAAAUACAUCAAACCAGUAGCUAACAUCAAACUAAACUGAGAAAAUUGAAGGAAUCCCACUAAAAUCAGGGACUAGACAAGGCUGCCCACUCUUUCCCUACUUUUUCAAUAUGGUACUUAAGGUCCUACCCAUAGCAAUCAAACAAUGAAAGUAGGUCAAAGGGAUAAAAAUUAGAAGGGAUGAAGUCAAAAUAGAAAUAUUUGAAGAUGAUAUGAUAGUCUACAUAAGCAACACCAAAAUUCCACCAGAGAACUACUUAACCUGAUCAACAACUUCAGCAAACUGGCCGAGUAUAAAAUUAACUCAAACAAUUCAGUAGCCUUCCUCUACUCAAAGGGUAAACAGGCUGAGAAAGAAAUUAAGGAAAUGACACCCUUCACAAUAGUCCCAAAUAAUAUAAAAUAACUUGCUGUUACUUGAACCAAGCAAGUAAAAAAUCUGUAUGACAAGAACUUCAAAUCUCUGAAGAAACUGAAGAAGAUCUCAGAAGAUGGAAAGAUCUCCCAUGCUCAUAGAUUGGCAGGAUGAAUAUGGUAAAAAAUGGCCAUUUUGCAAAAAGCAAUCUACAGAUUCAAUGCCAUCACCAUCAGUAUUCCUACUCAAUUCUUUAUAAAGUGCAAUUUGCCGUCAUUUGGUAUAACAUGAAACCCAGGAUAACAAAAACUAUACUCAACAAUAAAAGACCUUCUGGGGGAAUCACCAUCUCUGACCUCAAGCAGUAUUACAAAGCAAUAGCUUGUAUGGUAUUGGCAUACAGACAGGCAGAUCAGUGGAACAUAAUUGACACAGAAAUGAACACACACCCCUAUGGUCAUUAGAUCUUUGACAAAGGAGUUAAAACAUCCAAUGGAAGAAAGAUAGCAGUUUUAACAAAUAGUUCAACUGGAGGUCAACAGGUAGGAGCAUGCAAGGUGACCCAUUCUUAUUACCCUGUACAAAGCUUAAGUCCAAGUGGAUCAAGGGCCUCCACAUCAAACCAGAUACACUAAAAUUAAUAGAAAAAAGUAGGGAAGAGUCUCGAAGACAUGAGCACUAAGGAAAAUUUCUUAAACAAAAUACCAGUGGCUUAUGCUUUAAGAUCAAGAAUCGACAAAUGGGGGAACCUCAUAAAACUGAAAAGCUUCUGUAAGGCAAAGGACAGUGUAAUUCAGACAAAAAGGCAACCAAGAGAUUGGUAAAGAAUCUUUACCAAUCCUGCAUCUGAUGGAGGGCUAAUACCCAAAGUAUACACAAAACACAAGAAGUUAGAGUACAUUGGGCCAAACAACCCUGUUAAUAAAUGGGGUACGGAGCUAAAGAAAACAUUCUCAGCUGAGGAAUAUCGAAUAGCUGAAAAGCACCUAAAGAAAUGCUCAACAUCCUUAGUCAUCACGGAAAUGCAAAUCAAAACAACCCUAAGAAUCCACCUCACACCAGUCAGGAUGUCUAAGAUAAAAACUCAGGUGACAACAGAGGCUGGGGAGGACGUGGAGAAAGAGAAACACUCGUCCAUUGUUGCUGGGAUUGCAAACUGGUACAAGCACUCUGGAAACCAGUCUGAAGUUUCCUCAGAAAAUUGGACACUCCACUACCUGAACACACAGCUAUACCUGUCCUGGGCAUAUACCCAAAAGAUUCUCCAACAUACAACAAACACACAUGCUCCACUAUGUUCAUAGCAGCCUUAUUCAUAAUAGCCGGAAGCUGGAAUGAACCCAGAUGCCCUUCAACAGAGGAAUGGAUUCGAAAAAUAUGGUACAUCUACACAAUGGAGUACCACUCAGCUCUCAAAAACAAUGACUACGUUCAAUUCAUAAGCAAAUGGAAAGAACUAGGAAAUAUCAUCCACAGUGAGGCAAUCCAAUCACAGAAAAACACACUCGGUAUGCUGUUGGGAGCAAUGGCCUUGAAGCCCUCCAUUAUUGAUGUUAUUAUUAUGGUUAGAAUUAAGUAUGACGGGUUUCAUGGAAAAUCCCCAGCCAGCUGCAGAAGAGUAAUACAAAUGUGGUGGUCAAGAUGAAUAAUCAUAUGAUAACGUGUGACGUUAAGAUACCCAAUGUCAUGACCUAUAACCUUUCUAAAAAACCAAUAUCCUGCUGACUAAUAGAUAUGACAAACCUGUGACCUUUCUGACAACCUGUCAACAUCAGCGGAUUCCCUGACCACAUGAAUAUUGUGUCCUUGGCGUGCGUAAGUGUUUCUUACUUCCCCCUCUCUCUGUUACCCAUUUUAUGGUACAAAUUCAGCCUUGGGGAAAAAUAAAAUUGUCACCUUGAUCAGACUCUUAUCUUGGCGUCCUUCUUCACAUCUCUAGUCCCUCAUUCUCUUCCAGAUACUCAGCACCCCUCAUUGACAGUAUGCACUCAUUGAUAAGUGGAUAUUGACCAAAACCUCAAAUUACCCAAGAUGCAAUCUACAGAUCUCAGGAAACUCAAGAAGAAGGAUGACCAAAGUGCAGAUGCUCCCACUCCUUCUUAAAAUGGGGAACAAAAAUAUCCAUAGGAGGGGAUAUGGAGGCCAAAUCUAAAGCAGAGACCGAAGGAACAGCCAUUCAGAGCCUGCCCCACAUGUGGCCCAUAUAUAUACAUCCAGCAAAACUAGGUAAGAUUGAUGAAGCUAAAAAGUGCUUACUGAAAGGGACCGGAUAUACAUCUCCCCUGAGAGACACAUCCAGAGCAUGUCAAAUAAAGAGGUCAUUGCUAGCAGUAAACUACUGAACUGAGAACAGGACGCCGUUUAUGGGAAUUAGAGGAAGGAUUCAAAGAGCUGAAGGGCUUGCAACUCCAUAAGACCAGCAAUGCCAACCAAAUAAACCACUAGCAAAAGACUAUACAUGGACUGACCCAGGGGUCCAACUGCAUAUGUAGGAGAGAAUAGCCUUGUUGGGGCACCUGUGGAAGUGGAAGCCCUUGUUCUUAACAAGGUUGGACCCUCAGUGCAGUGGAAUAUCCAAGAAGGGGUUUCUAAGUGGCGUGGAUUGGGGGACCAUACAUAUGGGAGAGGGCAAGGCAGGGGGGUUAUGGACCAAAAGCUGGGAAACGGAAUAACGUUUGAAUAAAAAAUAUAUAUCUAGUAAAAAAACUAAAAUUUUAAAAAAUGAUAAUAAUACUAAGAAAUAAUCAAAAAAAGAAAAUGUGAAUAAGAAAGAAAUUUUAGGAUUUGGAAAAAGAUGAAUGCCAGGUAUUUGAAAAACUGUAUGACCAUGGUAAUCACUUUAAUAUACGUGAGAAAUUUUUUACAUGUUAAUGAACUGCAUCUUAUUUUUAAAUAGUGAAUGGAAAUCCAGUCCCUUCCUGGGUGUGAGUCUAGGGAUCCAGAUGUAGUGGAAUUCAUUAUUUGUUGAGUCCUGAACCUUUGAGCCUGCUUCUAACACAGCUUAUGCCAAGGAAACUAGGCCAAGGUGAUGUCUAAGCCAUUGACCAAACUAUCUGGACUAACAAUCAAAGGUGAAAUUCCACCUUGUAAAUGGGACGAGAGGAAUAAAAGAUACCUUUAAGGAUUAAAAAAAAAUGAAAUGUACCCAAAAAAUCCAAUAAAAAAGUUUAAAAUAGGGGUUGGGGAUUUAGCUCAGCACUAGAGCGCUGGCCUAGUGAGCGCAAGGCCCUGGGUUUGGUCCCCAGGUCCGGAAAAAAAAAGAAAAAAAAACAAAGAAAAAAAAGAAAAAGAAAAAAAAGUUUAAAAUAAAAAUAACUUAGGAAAUACAAAAUACUGGGGUGCCAUUCCACAAUCAUGAUGUGUUUCUUCUGUGAUAGCUUACAGGUUAAUUUACUUCUCUAUGACUGUUUUCUUAUUUGAAAGUAAGAAAUGGCAUCAUCUGUGGAGUGGAUACUGAGAACAAAAACUUUGGCUAACUUGAAUAAUCGAUCCCUACCAAGCACAUGCUUAACAUUCUAAGCACAGGGAAAUUUCCUGAGGGGAUGAAAAAACAAAAUCCAAACAUAAAACAGGAACAACAACGAUUUAAAAACAUUCUGCACGCUGGGUAUGAAGGCAUGUUACAACUUUAAUCAGCUUUGUAGGUAUUUCUAAUAAACACACAAAGAAACAAAAAUCCCAUCACAGUCCUAGCAGUUGCAUCCAACAAAGAGAGAGCUGUGAGGUAGUGCGUGCUGCUUCUUUCCCCAGAUACCCCUGGGCCUCAGGCCUGUACCCAGUGAGCUGGACCAAGAGCAGCCAGGUUGAAAUUCCUGCUGCCAUGGCAGGAUUCUGCAGGAACAUUUCCCUUUGACAACAAGGAACCUGUGUGGAGGAGACCUCUUGGUGAGUCCUCAAGGACUCUAUGUGUCCUAUUCUACAGGGAGAAGCCCUGCCAGGUCUUUGGCAAGGCCAGCCAGUUGUUUGGGGAAGUCUCUGGUCCUGUGGCAGAGGGUGAGGAAUGGCAGAAAGAAUGGCAGCUCCACUGAGAGCAAAGGAUAACCCUUCUAGGCCUAUGACCUCCUAAUUAAUUUAUCUCUUCACCUGAUGCCCUAUUCACAUUUUCUUACUAUCAUACAACUGUGAUCUUGAUGAGCAGCUGGUCUCUUGUUUUCUUAAUCAGUUCUUUGUUGUCACAGACGUUUUUAACUUACUCCAGCCCCUGAGACUUAUUCAUACCUUCUGUAUGCAGUAGGACCCUUGGUGGGCCUGUCAUCUCAAAAAUAGAAGGUUCAGUAAUCCAAAAGAUUGGACUCCACUUUACCUCAGGCCAGGAAAGAAGUCAGCCACCAUUAGUAAAAGAGCAAGGGAAAAAUUACAUAGGAAAAACAAGUGCCUUAAUUAGAAGAAAAGAUCCUCAACUUCUAAGGGGUGCACAUCUGCACCCCUCUCUUCUGAGCUUUGUAAAGUGAUGUUGUAUAACUCUAGAUAGUAGUAAAAGGCAGAGCUCUUCCCAGAAAGGUCAAACAUGAUUUUCACUCUUACAUCUGUGAGGUGGGGUGGCAUUAUAGCACACAUUCAGGUGGAAUUAUAACACCAAGGAUAAGAAGACAGAAUCCAUAUAUCACAAUGCCAAAUGGACUCCCUCCUGAACUUAUGGACCCAUUAAAAUUGAGGUUCAACCUGAACUCAGGCCAUUCCACUCCCUUCCCAUCCUCCUGAUUCUUAUGUUUGGUAGGAGUAAAGGAUCAUGGUGCAGCCCCCAAUAUUCUCAUGCCUAGACUUGCCUAUUCAGGAAGAAUGAUAUUGGAGAUGAGAUGGCUAUGUGGUUACAAUGUAGUAACACAAGCUCCAAGUUGACAUUUGCUCACUGACGUCCAAUUUAAUUGUCUUGUUAUAUUUGAGAAAGGGAGGAUGCCCUACUUAACAUAUAAAAGGGAAAGAAAUUUAUUAUUUUAUAUAUGCCCUGUAGUUGGUCCCUAUGUUCCCAAGGAAAAGGAGUUUUUAUUGCAAAAAAAUAGGAUUAUAGACCAUUGAUUUUGUGAAAUACAUGGAUAUGUAAUUGGAAACAAUGUCAGCUGUCAAGGACUGCACACUAAUCAACUAUUUCUCGGUUUUAUAUAUUCAGAGGUAUAGAAGAAAGAUAUUGGCCUCCACAAAAAGGGAAAAGCUUAGGAAUCGAAAUGUAUGUCACAUGCAUUGUCUCGGGUAGUAGAUUUAAGAAAAAACUGCCCCCUCCUUGGUCCCUAGAGAUUUGGGUGCUAAGAAAAAUCUGUUCUCCAAUUUAGGGUUGUAAGCAACUCUCCCCAGCAAAAGCAUUGUUGACUUCUAAUGAAGCAGAGAGAAACAUCUAGCUUUGAAAUAGAGGUUGCCAAAUGGUAUUCCCAGUGACACAUGAGAGACUGGAGGAAAGGGUCCCCACAGAAAUUCAUCACUUUGGAGAGAGUUGGUUAGUAGGUAGGCCAUAGAACUUUCCAGUGACAUCAUCAGUAAGCCCUUCACUGGACACUCUAUUGUAUCUAAGAGAUCCCUGGAAUCUUCUGUGAUGUCACCAGUGUUGUGGUGACACCAACUGCCUUUGGGAUAUUCCUUCAGUUCCCUUUGGGUUCACAAGCAGGCAUGUUUCGCCAGCUGCUCAGGCUAUUUCUGAAGGAAAGGGAAGAUCAAGGAGAGACCACACCAGGUCAGAGGGAAGCUGACCCGCUCUCUAGUGACACAGGAAGGAGGAAAUCAUUCUGGGGAAGGCUUGGCUGGAUGUCGAAUUGCCAGUACUUCAAUCUGAACAUGAGAUGAGAAUGAUGGCAAUGCAAAUGAUGACCAACUCAAUAAGUGAUGCCAUGGAGAGGUACAAGGAGCUCAUACAAGUGAACAGUUCCUACCGCAUCAGCCACUCCCAGCUCCUGCGUGAACAAACUCAAUUGGAGAACAAUAUACAGAUUUUGCUGAAUGAGAAGAGAGAACUGCUGGUGGAGCAGACUGAACUGCCAGCAUCCUCUGUGGAGACAAAGAGGCUCUGUGAAGAGGCUGGAAUGAACAUCUGUGACCCCAGUGCCAAGCAACAGCAGGUAGGGUUAGUCCUCAGGGUCAGGGUGUCCUCAUGUCUUACCAUAACCAUAGACAAACCAAUGUAACUGCCUAUUGACUGAUCCAUGUCCUGACCUAGGUCUCAUCCAAGUGUUCAUUCAUGUGAUGGUUUACAAGGCUUUCUGUGGAGAUAGCCCAUCUUCAAGAAACUGCAUGUUUGGAAAGCAAAUGCUCCUGCUCUUCAAGAAUCUGCAGUUUAUUAAGGGAGAUAGGUUGAUCACACAUCACAGCACUACAUGCCAUAUGUGUGGAGGGUGCUAUGUGGGAGCCCCUCUUUAGACUAGAGCAGGGCUUUGAGGGAUGAAGCAAAAGCCCAGAGCCCAUUUUCUUUGGAGGGGUCCUGUGAGAUUCCAGGAACUAAAUUGUUUAGAAGGAGGAGAGCCUGGUCGAAAUGCCAAAGAAAUGGUUGUCAUUGUCAUCUUUUGGUGAAUUUGUUCUUUCUCCACCAUUUUCCCUGUAUAUCAAGACCAUCUCUUCAUGCUUCCUAAAUCAUGGGUACCUGACAGAGCCUGAGGAGCAGCAUGUCAGUCCUGUUUUGUUCGAGUGUUGCUGGAGAGUUCAUAUCUUGACCUUAUACUCUAUAGAUGCUUGGAAAAGCAGGGAUGUGGAAAGGUGUUCUCAAAACCUGACAAUUGGCAUGAGAGAUUUGAGACUUCAAGAACAGAGUUAUCUACCCCCAUUCUCAUCAAGAAGAGUGCUAUCUAGGCCUUUUUGUUCCUCUCGGGAAAAAUGGCUGAGUAGUGAUUCUCUCUUAAAAUACUUGCUUUGAAUAGUCUAUAUUAUGUUGUUCCUCCAGUAUGAUGGGAUCUUCAUUGUUUUCUGCCGACUUGCAAUUUUUGGUGUGUGUGUGUGUGUGUGUGUGUGUGUGUGUGUGUGUGUGUGUGUCUGUUUGUGCUUGUUUGUGUGUGUGUCUGUGCUUGUUUGUGUGUGUGUCUGUAUGUGUGUGUGAUAGAGUAUGUGUGUGUUUGUGUGUGUGUGUGAGUGUGUGUGAGUGUGUGUUAGUGAGUGUGUGUAUAUGUGACUCUGUGUGUGUGUGUGCCUGUGUGUGUGUACCAGCUGUAGCUCAGCAUGUUUAUACUCAUGUUGUGGAUUUAAUUCUGUAUGAUUUUUGAAGUGUUUCUAGUAUGGGUUCUUUUGUGUGUGUGUGUGUGUGUGUGUGUGUGUGUGUGUGUGUGUGUGUACCAGCUGUGGCUCAGCAUUUUUAUGCUCAUGUUGUGGGUUUAAUUCUGGAUGAUUUUUCAAGUGCUUCUAGUAUGGGUUCUUUUGUGUGUGUGUGUGUGUGUGUGUGUGUGUGUGUGUGUGUGUAUGUGUGUGUGUGUGUUUCCCUGUGCAUAAUUGCACAGGUGAGUCUCUAUUGCCAUGUUUCAUGAGAAAAAGAAUCUAAGUGUUCACUUUGCCUCCAUGAAUAUCAAAUAUAGAACCCCAAUCACUUGGAAUCUCCACCUACCUCUGUACAGCAAAAGAACCCAAAACACUUGUAAAGUUAGAUUUUCAAGUGAUUAGGGAAAAAAUGACUGAUCUGCAUUGAAAUCCUUUGGAUCACAUCAAAGGAAUGGAGUACAUGGAGGUAAGGGGGGCUGCUUUAUAAAAUCCAUUGAUUUAUGAUCCUUCUCUGUUCUUUGUGAAUUGUGAAAGCCCACUGGAAGGUUGUGUCACUCACUGUGUCUUCUCCAAGGUUGCUUUCCACAUUGCCUGCUACCACUUCUUUCCAGCUAUCUUGGCACACUACAGCUUCCCCUGGGAAUUUGGCUUGGAUUUUAUUCAUUGAGAAUUUGAAUUGCUUGGAGUUGUAUCGUCAUCCAGCAAAAGUCCCAUAGCUAUGCUGUGGUGCAAGAACAGGGCAGUUUCAGGAGCCCCUUUAGGUGCACAGAUAAUCCAAAGCACUCUUCUAAGUUAUCUGUAUAGCAUUCUGCAAGUGUUGUCAAUCAACAUCAUUUUCUCUCAGUUAAUUUCAGCCUCAAUGGAGUCAGGAGAUAUGAUGAAAUUCAGACGGGUCUGUUAGUGGAAGAUCAGAAAGGCCUGUGAGAAGCCAUGUUCUUUAAGUGGAACAGGAGUGUAAGUUGACCCAGAGUUCCCAGAGAAAAGAAUAGGUGUCCAACUAGAGCAACUAGAGCACAUCUGGGUUGUAGUGGUCCAAGGAGGGAAACUGUAUGAGAGGUUGGAGCCCUUUUUGGGUUAUGACUCAGUGUGAGAUCAUCCAUGUAAGCAUUUAUUUAUUUACUCCAAAUAUCUGUGACACAAUCACAUUAUAGGUAGAAAAAUUGUUCAUAUGGAUCCUGGUUAUGGAGAUUUCCUAAGAUUCUGGGGUCAUAGCUUUGGGCAUGAAGUCACUCAGGGUAUGGUAAAGACAGCUCCUAUUAGAAGAAGCUGCACACUAUGGGGACAGUCUGAAACAGUGAACAAGAACAGGAGUCUAGUCCACCACCAACAUAUGAUCAUUUGCUGGGAAACAAUACUGCUCUACUCAGGCUUGGGAACUUGCUAAGCCAGAUUGGUAAUAGGGAAAGAACACUGAUUCUAUGUCGGCUUAUUGGAGGACACCACAUCACUGACUGAGCUGUCUGUAGGCUAUGACCACUAUGUACAUAUCCCACUCAACAUUUGUUUUUAUGCCUCCAGAGUAUCCUGGGGAAUCAUUAUAUUAAGCAUUAAAAGGGAAAGUAAACACUGCAAUGUACUAUGUUUAUAUUGUGUAAACACAAAUGUCUUGUGUGUUUGCGAGUUUGUAUUAGUGUGUUUGUGUGUCUGUGUGUGUUUUUGUGUGCACACAUGCAUGCAUGCCUCCAUUGACAGUACACUCAUCUGAUGACCAGGAUAAGGAAGGAUUAGAGGAAAGAAUGCAGGACAUUCUGAAGCAGAAAGAACCGAUCAAGCAGGAAAGUUGCUUGGGAGGAACAUUGUAGAAGCAUUCUGAUAUUUUUGAGAUCAAGUAGGAACACAGACUGGCAGAAGCCAAUUGGAUUUCCUGUCUCUAUAUAACUAUCCUUUUUGGAUGGCUGACCACUGACAAGGUUUUCCCCAUCAGUCACCUAAAGAACUACCCAGAGUAUUGUUCUGGUACAGUUUAUGUGAAUUUUGUCCAUGACACAAUAUGUAUAAUCCUCAGGAUUUCUUUGUAUUUUGUACUUCUUUCUUCCUGUUAACUCUCUGAUAAGAUCUGAGGACAUUUUCUCUUCUGUCAUCUCACGAAUUGCAUUACAAUAAGCAUAGUCUUACAGGAGUGCUGUUAUGUUUCUCCAUCACAAUAAACUUUAAUGUUCCUUGUGUAUGCUGUGAGCACAUUCUCAGUGAUUACAGGAUCUGUGCAGUGAGCAUGGAUUUGAAGUGAGAUGGCUUCUCUGUGUAUUUGCAGAUUCAGUGGUUACAAAUUGAACCUAGGCAGGUUCCUUCAGUGCUAACAUAAUCAGAACUUUCACCACAAUUCUGGGCAUGUUCUCCAGAAGGAAUCCACAUGGUAUUCUAGGUUGCUCAUACCAUUCUUGAACUCAGAUUCAGACCCAGCUACAAGGUAUUAUUCAAUAUAAUAAACCUGGACCAGUGACAAAAUAUGCUCAUUUUUCUCUUAAUUCCAGUACAGUGCAUAGUCCACAGUUCAAAUUCUAGCAGUUUGAAAAGCUGAGAUAUAAAUCCAAGCCCAGGUACUCUAUGACACUAGGGGAUGCAGGGACUGACCUCAGCUGACCGGUCAUGCUGGAUUGUCCAACUGAAUAGAGCUGAUGUAAGAGGGAGAGCUGAAUUGACAACCACUCACCAAACCUUUUUUCCCUUGCUCUGCUAGGCCUGAAGUUCUCCAUCAGAAACUCGAAAUGACACAGACCACGACAAGAUCUCCCUUGGAGAGAAGUGCUACAGGAGGAGAACUAAGUGUGCACAGCAAAUAUACCACUAUUGCAUCUCAUCUGUAAUGUCCAUAGCAAUUGUGGACUGCACUUUCCUCCUUUAGUUUAACUUCUUUGGAUUGAAUAGGCAGUACUUUCACCUCAGCUCUCUCCAGCAAGUGUGCACUUUUGGAGGGACCCAGAGAAGUGGUGAUGCACAUCAAUCAAGAGCUGCUGGUCAU